CCUACGGGAGGCAGCAGUGAGGAAUAUUGGUCAAUGGACGAGAGUCUGAACCAGCCAAGCAGCGUGAAGGAUGACUGCCCUAUGGGUUGUAAACUUCUUUUAUAUGGGAAUAAAACAGGGUAUGCAUACACUCUUGUAUGUACCAUAUGAAUAAGGAUCGGCUAACUCCGUGCCAGCAGCCGCGGUAAUCCGGAGGAUCCGAGCGUUAUCCGGAUUUAUUUGGUUUAAAGGGAGCGUAGGUGGGUUGUUAAGUCAGUUGUGAAAGUUUGCGGCUCAACCGUAAAAGUGCAGUUGAAACUGGUAGUAUUGAGUACAGGAGAGGUAGGCGGAAUUCGUAGUGUAGCGGUGAAAUGCUUAGAUAUCACGAAGAACUCCGAUGGCGAAGGCAGCUUACUGGACUGCAACGGAAGCUGAUGCUCGAAAGUGUGGGUAUCAAACAGGAUUAGAUACCCCAGUAGUC
rnacentral:rRNA from 1 species